GUUCACUGUUCAGCCUUAAACAGAUUGAAAUGAUCCGUGGGGGGAAAUCGCACCAAACCCAAGGGCUGUGUUGAAGUGAUGUGUAGCGCCAGAUCCCUGAGCUGCUGUAGAAAGGCGGGUUGUGAAGGCCUAUGUGUCUGUGUUAAAGGGAAGUCUUUGAAAGCUAUCUUUCUAACAGGAUAAAUGUGAAAGCCACUGGGGAGGGGGGGCAGGGAGCAGCACAAAACGGCCACUUGAGCAUUGCUUCCUGCCCAUGGAGCUCUAGCUCCUUACUGACAGUUAUUCUUAGGCCUUCUUUGGCUUCAAAGGUUUCCUCUUUUCUAUUUUUGGUAGCAGAAUAUGGAUUUAGAUCUGCAUAGUCCCUCUCAACUGCUAAUCCAUGCCUAGAAGAGAGUAGGACUGCUGUGUUCUGUUAGCUAUCAGUUCUCUUUUCAGCACCUCCAAAUGAUUUUUAAUAUUAAGGACACAGAUUUAUGGGAAGGAGUCAUUGAGUUUUCAAACUGAUUUGUAGUCCUCUAAUUUGCACAUUCCUUUCUCCAGCAGGGGCAUCUCAGAGAUCAUCUCAAGUAAUGGGGCCUGACUUCUGUGAUGAGUGAAAGAAUCCAGAGGAACAGACUGAGGGCCUGAUCCUGAAAGGAAUUUUGACUUCACUUCCUUAUGAAGACUGAAAAUUGGGCAGACCUGAAGAUUAGGAUUUCCCUCAGUUCCCCUCAGCUCUGUUACAAUAUCAGGAAACUUCUACCAACACAUUCCAGUUCUGAGGCAGUCUUGGUCAAGGCUUUGAAGCUUGGAAUUAGGGUCUCAUCACAGCCCUCACUCAAGAUACUGUAGUAGCAGUACCUGUUCAAAUGUGACCAUGGAGAGGAAUAAUGUCACCAGGACCAUGACCAUUCUCAGUAACAAUGGUAACAUUAUUUUUUGCUCAUGAAGAUAUGGAUUUGGAGAUGAACUAGACAGUGGUUUUGAGAAGACCCAACUGUCUCACUCCUAGCUUCAAACAUCUAAGACUUAUUCAGUUCUACAUUGUAACAUUGCAAGUCAAGAUGACCUUGGAAAAAAACUGAAUAAUUAAACUGAUAUUAACACUGAUGCUAACCUGAAGUGACAUUUAUGUUUGGCUUUGUGGUUGGUUCAUGGAUUUGUA